AUGUCUCACGUGCUAGCUCGCUCCCCAAAAGCCUGCAACAGCUGGGGCUGGGUCAGGCCGAAGCUGGGACCGGGCACUGAUCCGGGCCAGCCGGCGGCGGCAGGGCCAUCACUGGUGCCUACUGGACCAGCAGCGGCACAGGCGCCAGCGUCCCCAGGGGCGUGCUCACCGCCGUGCCCAACACCUGCCCCAGAACUGAAGGCUAGGACGGAAGAGUCUAAAGUAAAAGUCCAAAAGGAAAAGUCGCCCCGGCCCAUUCUCCAGCCAUCGCAUUCUCCUUCACUCCUGCGAGUGCCUCGUCCUCCCCACGCACGGCCGUCCUCCCACGCACGUCGUGUCUCACAGCGGCCGCAGUCCCCUCCUUCACUCCUGCGAGUGCCUCGUCCUCCCACGCACGCCCGUCUCACAGCGGCCGCAGUCCCCUCCUUCACUCCUGCGAGUGCCUCGUCCUCCCACGCACGGCCGUCCUCCCACGCACGUCGUGUCUCACACGGCCGCAGUCCCCUUCCGCGUGCGCCAACGCGGCCUCCUGAGGGCUGUUCCCGCACUUUCCCGCUCUGCCCCUCUCGGCUUUCCUCGCGACCCCGCAGCUUCCCCACUCGAGCGCAUUUCCACGCGCGUUCUCACACACCACAUGGAAGUCCUUCCGGGUCGACUUCGCGCGCCCGAGGCGGCGGCCUACCACCGCGCGGCCGCAGUCCUCCCUCGAGACGGCGCUCCCCGACUGCUCCCGAAAGCCGACGGCGGGGUCAGAGGUCACGGGCGGUACCAUUUAAACAGCUUCCCCAGGCCCGACACCGCAGUUUCCCGUCAGGAGCGACGUCCUCUGCCCCGAGGGCUCUCGCUGGCCUCUGAGGACGCAGGUCCCGUCAGGCCCGGCCGCGGCCUCGGCGGCCCCGGGUCCGACACGCGCGGUUCCG
rnacentral:lncRNA from 1 species